GACUGCUGUUUGCUGUUCUCUACACGGUGUGUAGAGUUGUUAAAACGCCUCAAAAUAAGCUCGUUUUUCUUGGUAAAAGUGCAUCUUAUCCACAAAAUACGUUUGAAAAAAUCUUCAAGUUUAAUAUGAAACAUUUUUCUAACACUUUAACUUUGUUUUGGAUUAAAUUCAGUUCAUAACUGUUGUCAUCUUUUGCUAGCUAAACCUCGUCAGGUAGCAGCUAACCGACGGAGAUACACGUCUUUUUUCGUGUAUUUCGGGAACAGUUGGAGAUGUUAUUUUCGCAAAAGUGGCCGUCAAAAGUUUUCUACUUUUCUGUUAUUUCAGAAUAAACGACCUGUUGGCGCCUAAAGUGAGUGUUUAUGAAGUGUUUCACUCAAAGCGAGAAAGAGUGUGAAGACUUCCGGACUACAUGAGGAUGAUGAUGAUGAUGAUGAUGGCGGACAGGUGAGUGCUGCAGAAGUUACUCAAGUAAAUUUAUGAGGAAUUACUGUGAAAUUUGGUGGAAGCAGGUCAAAGUUUGUUCCAGUUUCUUCCUCCAUAAAGUGAAUCAGCCUCCUCUUCAGUUCAGACCCUCACUCAGUCUAACUCUGAGGUAAACAGAGAACUACCAGCUGAUGUUAAACUGUUCCCAUGAGCCUCAGCUCUUCUGUUUCCUGCAGAUGUUAACAGUCAGUAUGUUAAUGCUGCCUCUGUGGACAGGAGAUCAAGAUGAAACCAGUCCUCUCAGAUUCCUGCAGCUCACAUGCAAAGGAGGAGGUCAGAUUUGGAGAUGACUCAUUAGCUUUUCAAAUCCCAAAAUGACACAAUUAUCUGUAAAGGUCAAGUGUUUUUGCAUAAUUAGUGAUUAUGUUACGGCGCCACUACACAGACGUGUUCACAGACAGUGGCUUUGGUUACAGGGAAGUAUUUGAUAUGUCGAUUAUAGCAGACAAUAACCUUCUGAUAAAUAUAACCUCUGAAUGGAGUCACACCACACCUUGUUGCAGCUUAAACUGAAGGGUAGGUGUGUGAAAAUGUCUUCAAGAGGUGCAGUUUAUUCCCUUCAAACAGACGCCUCCCAGAAAUUAACACACAUCUUAGUUUUGAAAUUUAGUGCAUGUUUUUUUUGUUAAUUUACACAGAAGAAAAAGAGUUAUUUAUGCUCUUCAAGUCGCAUUUAUGAUUAUACUUCAACCAGCAAGCUUCUGUAAAGAUGCUACUGUAAUGAUGCUCAAUGAUACAAACUGCUCCCUGAUAUUUUAAACCUCAGACCGCCGUCUAAUCAGAGUCAGAACUUGAAUAAAAACAUUUGUUCACCUCUCACCUCUGGAUCUAUGAUGAAGCUGCAGACUCACCUCUUUAAAGAUGAGGUCCACCUCAGCAGGUCUCAGGAUUAAUGUCCAAAGUCUUCAGUCUGAUAAUCUUCAUCCAGCCUCCUCUGUCCUGCUGAAAGUUCAGGUUUUCUGUCACAGAUUGGACAUGUCUUAAAUCUUUCAAGUGUGGCUCACCUGCAGCAGGUCAGUUAAUGAUAAACCGCCUGGAAUUAAAGUCUCACCUGACGGUUUUGAGUCCCAGAGGAAAGUCCAGAAUCCUCAUCCAGAGCUGUCGCAUCGAUACAGUGAAAUCAGUAAACAGACGACCGGAUACAGGAUCCUAAAUCAGACUCUGGGGUUAGAGGUUCACAGGUGUGAUCGACUCCUCACCUGCAGGCUGCUCUUUGAGGGUCAAUAAUCUGCAGAAGUGAAAGUGACGCUGAGUUGAUAAGAUGAGUACAGAUACUGUCCCUCUGACUCUCUCCUCUGUCCCUCUCCUCUCAGGUGCUGAGCUACACCUGUGCUGUGACUGGCUCCUCCCACUGACCCACAGAAACACACGUACACAGCUAACUAUCCAGGUGAGGACUCACUUUAACCUGGUAAUACUGACUAUAAAGUGGUAGCUGUGAAACUGACUGUGACAGCUGCACAAGCACCUGAUCAAAGUCUGCUCACCUGAAGGUCUUGUUUUGGUCAGGAUCCCUGCAGAGUCAGGGCUUUUUCUUAGUAAAGAUGAUGCUUUAUUAAACCAAAAUGCUGCUUUUUAAAUACCCACCAAACUCCAUUGAUAAAAGCUGCAUUUUUAUCCCAGAGAACAUCAGAGUAGCUCGUCUACUGGUUUAUAAAUUUGUUAUUUUUCAUCACAUAAACGUUUCAAGGACUUAAACUCGCCAUUCAAAACACUCACAAUAACACAAACUAACCACAGUAUCAAUUAGGAAAUUAGAUUUUUUUCCCUCUUUAAUCAUCUAAAAAAGUGAGAUUGUCUUAAAUUUGUGGUUUAGUGAACAGAGACGACAUGUAAUUGUUGUGUUUACGAUAUCAGCUCUGGAAAUAGACCAGAGAUAAAUCUUAUUACACCUGCCCCUUAAGGACAAAGUUCUCUGUGAUGGUUAAUGACUUAAUUUCUUUACAAUCGUGUUAUUUUUGUUAUGAUGGAGGGAGGCUAUCAUCGUCGUUCAAUCAGAGGCUGUAUCUGUGAUCAGCUGACAGACUUUGGUAGUUUCUUAUAGUCAGUUCAAAGAGAGAGGUCGUGAAAACAGGGUAGUGCUGUACUAGGUAGGGCCUGACCGAUUUAUUGGUGAGCCAAUUAAAUCGGCCAAUUUUAGCCCGUUUGAGACUAAUCAGUAAUCUGCCAAAACUAGCAGAUUGUCGCCGAUAUUUUCAGACAUAAAACGCUUUUCUGGUCCGAGUUUAAUUCAUGAUAAAUAUGUAGAAUAUUACUGAGACGAUCAGUCGGUCUUCCUGUCGGCGUGAAGAGCAGUCGCCUACAGUAUAUCGAGUGUUCCUCAUUUUGAGUUGAAAGUUAACUUAACUGUUUACACUUUACGUAAAAUACCUUAUCCUUUUUCGGUUGUUUCAGCAAUAAAAAGGAUUUGAAAUGAGUUUUCUGCCUUUAAUUCUUUGAAAAAGUGUUAAACUUAAUGAAAAAAUUUUAUGAAUUAAUCGGUAAUCGGAUCUUUCCCCCUAAUAAUCAGUAUCGGCACCGGCCCCAAAAAAUCUGUAUCGGUCUGGCCCUAAUAUUAGGGUCAUUACGGUAAAAGUAAGAGGCAGAAGUUGAUCAACAACUUUUUUGAGCUGAAGUUCUGAUGGACUCUUGUGGCUCAUAUAUACGCCUUUAAUUUAGAGAAAGCAGUCAGGUCGACGAGUCAUUAUGUGACUCACUCUGUCGUUUGUUUCUCUGCACUUCGCUGACGCUCUUAAAGUCGUCAGAGUCGAUGGUUAACCACAUAUCUUGGCGUCAUCUCUCCUGAAUGAACUCUUGGUGGGGAUUUUCCGGCUGUAAAUGAGUGACGGUGCUGCUGCAUGAAUUCAUAUCUGAGAGUGUUUCAGGAAGUGGGACAGAAGUUAAUGAGUGACUGAGUUCAUAUCUGCUGCGUGGACACAACAACACAAACAACAUGAUCCACACUGACUCUAAAAACAGGGUCCCACAUAUUCAGAUCUCUGAACACUUUUUCAUUUUCUUAACUGAACGAAUAUUUAAGAGCUUCACAGGUUAACAUUUCUAAACCGAGAGGAACCGCGUCUGUGGAGCGAAUGUUUUCAGGAGACAGAGGGACGCAGGUCAUCGCUGAAUUAAUCCAAACACUGCCGUCAUGUAAAGCUGUUAAACUCGAGCUUUGCACCGAAAUCUGGAGAUAAACGGUCAUAAAUCCUCUCAUUAUCUCAGUCUUUCUAUGAUAUUAUAAUUGAGAAAUAAAGACCAUUAGAUGUGUAAAUAAAAAUAUUUUCUCUUAUAUGUAAAUAAAAAUGUUUAAUUGUUGUUUCAGUCAUUAGAUUGGUUAAUAAAGUGGGUCAUGAAUCUGCAGGAGUUUUGCUGGGAUGAGAGCGUUAACUCUUCGUCUGCUGGUGUACAGAGAAAAAAAGAGCUUCAUGUAAAUCAGAGACAGAAGUACAGCUGCGAUCUUAAUCAAUAAAACUUCAUCUCUCUGUAACCAAAUCGACUAGAGGAUCACUAAUCUGUGUGUGGGGACAGAGAGCCGGCUGCUCUUUGCUCCUUUGUCUCCGUUUCCUGUAUUUAAAUGAACCUGGGAAAGGAUUUACAGACUGAGAUAAGAGCCAGGGACUGAAACUGAAACCACAAAGAGAUUAUCAUCAAAAACAGAUAAAAAUUAUAUACUUUUAUACAUCAUAAAGAAAAUAUAUAAAGAUGUUAUCUGAGGAAUCUUAAAGCUAAACUCAAAGUUUAUCAGGAUAAAAACAAUGAAAUAUUUGAUUUAAAGAUCUACUUUAAUUUUUAAAACUUCCUUUAAUAAGUGAGUGAGAGAAUAAAAAGCCAAAGCACUUUAAUCAGGAUCAUUUAUUAUUACUGUUGAAGUGUCUCCUGAUGAUGGCAGUGAUGCUGGUUUACGGGUGAAACAUCGCCAUCAUGUGGUCAUGAACUGACUCUACACCACCUGCUGGAUUUACAGUGUAGAGAAAAAGUGACCAGAGUGAAACGACUCCAUCGAGAAACACAGAAAGUUAUUUGUCAUUCAGAAGUUUAAAUUUAGUUUUAAUGAACUGAGGCAGGAGUCUGUGGCAUAGGUCCUCUCCUGUUCUUGGUUUCAGACUUCUGUUGUGGACAGGCUCAGGUCCAGAGAAGUCUCUGGUGGUUCUGGAUCCUGGUUCCAUCUGGUUUCCUCUUUCCUGGUAAUGAUGCAGUGAUGAUCUGUGUUCACAGUCAACGGUGUUUGAAGUGAUGCAGCAUCUAGGAUUUCCAGUUCUUCGUUGAAAGGACAACUGGACUUACUUGAGAGACGUCUCAAGUAAGUCCAGUUGUCCUUUCCAUGCAGUGAUUCCCACUCCAGAGUCCUUUCUGUUUUUAAUGCCCUGAAGAUCAGAACCAUCCACUCCUGGUUCUGGUUCUGGUCCCUUUAGUACAAAGAUUUCUCCAGAUCCUCUGAAUCUUUGACUGAUGUUAUCUUCUGUAGACGAUGAAAUCCACUCAGGAACUUCGUUCUGAAACUCUUGAACUGUUCGCUCACACAGUCUCUCACAGAGUCCUGAACCUCUGAGAGACUCAGGUCCGAUCAGGCGAGUGUGUAGGGGGCGGUUUGGGAUUGGGCCUCAGCCUCUCUGAAUAUCCGUCUUCAGACCCGGUCAUGUGACCAACCUGUUGGACAUUCACCUCCAUAUUAGUUGGAGACGUUCCUCCAGAUGUUUGUUUAGCAUUUUAACUUUUGACCUGUUUGUUUGGUCCUCUAUAAGAACUUUGAGUUUUUACUUUUAAAUAGUUGAUUUUGUGUUUGUUUAAAAGCUUGUUUAAAGUCACAGUUUCCAUUUUUACUCUCUCUCUCUCUCUCUCUCUCUCUCUCUUUCUCUGUUUGUCUGAUCAUGAUGUUAAACACAAAUUUAACUCACGACCACGUCCUCCAUAUUCAUCCCUCCUCUAUUCUCCUCUCUCUCAUCCUUUCCUCUGCUGCGUUUCUCUCCAUCAUCCCUCUCUCCCUCUCUCUCUCUCUCUCUCUCUCUCUCUCUCUCACCCCCCACCCUCUCUCUCUCUCCUGUGUCAUAUUUCUCCAUUAGGCAGGAUUUUAACCACCUCUUGUAUCUGCUAUUAAAGAAAGUUCUGCAUCGUUUACCACAGCGUGUUAUCAGUCACUGUCACAGAGCUGCAGCCUUCACACACACAUGCACACACACACACAUAUGUAUGCACACACACUUGUACACACAUGCACUCACACACGUUAGUAUUUGCAUAUAUGCCUGGAUGGAUAAAGAUACAGUAACACAGGAGCACCACACCCUUCUUCGAGCUUAAAUCCACCUUCUAUAUCACCACACACACAAACACACAAAGACACUCUGCAGCAUCCAGGAUCCAUUUGUCACCGUGGUAACGCCUGGCUGCAUCAGAGAGGAGAGAGAGAGCGGAGAGAGAGAGAGAGAGUCAGAGGAGGAGGAGGAGGAGGAGGAGGUGGGGUUAUGGGGUUAAGGAUGGAGGUGUGGAAACAAGGAAGGAGAAAGAGGAUGGAGGGAGGACUGGGAGGAGGAGAGAGACGCUGUCAUUAGUCCUCUUUAGCUUCCAUUAUGAAGAUUAAAGUGAAGAUUGUCUGUUUGACUUAACCCUUUACACUCCGCUGCAGAGACCCUCGAAGACAAACACGAAAAAAAUCUGCAGGAAAGAGCGAAAUAACGAGUCUGAAAGGAGCUCAAAAGUGACAAAUUUUCUAGAAAUGUUUGAAAAGAGUUGCAGGUUUGCGCCACGUUGCACAGACAGAGGCCAAUCGGAGUGAUAUCGAGUCAUAAAGAUGCACAAAAGAGGAGAAAUACAUGUGUAAAUCACUAAUUAUCAUUUUAAAACACUGAAAAACAGACGCAUGUUGAAGAAAACUCAGACAGAAAACAGCCCAGAGAAAACAGACUGGUUAAUGAAAGGAUUCAGGUUUCUGCCAAAUCUGCAAACUUCAGCAGCUCUGCAGUGAGAGUUACCAGAAGAUCAAAUUUAAACGAUUUUAGUUUUUUAAAAAGUGUCUUUAAAGGAUGCUCCAAAGUCACAAUAAUGAAAUAUAAACCUGAAAAAUUUAGAUGUAAAAAAACAAACAACUAACAGUUACUGUCACUUAAACUCAGCUGAACAUGGACCCUCCACAUCAUGUGCUGAGGCAGUUUCUCCAGCAGAGGGCGCUGUAGUGAUUUAAUCUCCCACUGAAAGACUGUUAUUUUCUCUGGAGGACAAACCAAAUAUCACCCGAGUGUCUUUGUGGAGACUAAAGAUCAAACUCUCUGAGGAAGAAAAAAAACGAGAGAAAAUCUCGAUUCAACUCUUGGUGGUGUUUCCAUCUGUCUCAUGUGACUGUGUGCAGACUGCAGUGUGAUGUAUCGUCCCUGUUAUCAGUGUGAGAGCGUCUCAUUCAUUCUCAUCAAGUCACCUUCGUAUUCAUCCUCCUUUACUCCUCAGUGUCCGAGUUAAUACGUGAUAUCAUGAGGGAAAUCAGAGGACACACUCAAACAGGCUCAGAGCUUCAUCCUGGUCCUAAACUUUAGAGUUUUUAAAACGUGAUCGUUUAACGCUGAAAGCAGCAAAAAUCAAAAUUAAGGUUUCCUCCAGUGAAGAGACGACAAGACGACAGUUUCGUUAUUGUUAAACAGAAAAUAUUAAACAUUUAAAGACUGUUUUAUUUUAUCUUUUUUUAAAAUUCCUAUUUCUUGGUUAAUUUUAAUGUGAUGAAAACAAAAAUGAGUUAAAAUUUUACAUUAUUACCAAGAAGCUGUGAGUUAAAGUACAAGAGAAAACAGCAAAACAGGAUAUAAAAAGUCAAAAUAUAUAUAUUUUUUUCUGGUGAGUAUGGAAGCCCUGGAGGUCACAAAUGUUACCAAAAAUGCAAACAUAAUUACUGAGGAACAAAAAAAAAUUAGAUAACACAUCAAAUCUCAUGAAAUGCAAAAACAGGAGCUAAAAAAUAAAAACAAGAAUAUUUAAUAAAGGGCAAAAAAUAAAUCAAGAACAAAUAUUUGUUCAACCUUAAAAAAAUUGUUAAAACAUCACAUCAAAACUUAGGUGCUGAUUCACGCUAAGAAAUAUAAAUGAAAUAAAAAGAAAAUAAUUUUUUCUUGAUAAAAAAAAACUUUUAUUAUUAAGUUACUAUUAAGAGACAAAAUAAAAGUCAAAAUUUCAUUCUGUUUUGCCAUAAGUCCAGAAAAGUAUGGUGGCCCUGAAGGUUAACUGAGAAUUAUUAUAUAAAAAGCAAAAACAGUUUGUAAUGUGAAAAAUAUUUCAGAUCGAACAGAAAACAUUUUUUGUUUCAUAACAAGCAAAAAAAAAAUCAUUUUAAAGCAUUAGGUGAAUUUAAAAAAAUGCAAAAACAUUUCUUUAUGAUAAAUUCCAUGAGAUUAAGAAUUAAACAAAAAAGCAAAAUAUUUUACAGACCAAUAAAAACAUUUGAAAGAUUAAAAAAUGUUUUUUAUAAGACACAGAGGUGAUUUAGAAACUUUAAAUAUUUUGGGAAAUGCAAAAACAUGAAAAACAAAGUAUUUUAUCGAAAAUAUUUCAAACCCAAAAUUUAAAUGAGACAAAAAAACAAAAACAAGAAAAAAACAAAACAAAACAUUUCCCAAUCCCCCAAAAAUCUAAAAAUCACUCUGAGUGAAACCUUUGUUCUGUUCAGUUAAUUUUGUCUUUUUUUUUUAAUACUUCUAGAGAAACAAUCUCCUAGUUUGCCUUUAGGGCCACCGUAGAAUUGACUGUUUUUGGUUUAAAUGAUUGAGUUUGUGGGCGAAGCUUAAUUUAUUCUCUUCUGAUUCCAACCUUUGAGUUUAUUUUCUAGUUUCUGUGAAUGUAUUUCAGAACUUUUGACUUAAUUCAACCAAAUUUAUAGUCAGUUUAAUUAGUGAAGUAAUUACUUUAACACUUAUUUAAUAUAAACACACUGGAGCACAUUUAGACCCUUUCUUACAUUUUUUACCAAAGCAAGUUGUUUUCCUGUUUUUUUACACAGUCAGUGUUUUAAGAUGUUAAAUUUAUUUUUCAGCAUUUAUUUAAAAACUGAAAAAACUCCAGUGAGAUUCAGUUUUAGUGGAAAUGUUCUUUUAGAGAGAGAUUCAGGUUCGAGCUUCAUUCUCAUACAUUCAUUAGUCCACUCGCCUUCCUGAGAGCACACGUGUGCACACAGAGGGCAGGCUCAUCUACAUAUAAGGAAAACAGCAGAGUUACACACACACACACACACACACACACACACACACACACACACACACACACACACACACACACACACACACACUCAGACCACACGAUGAUACAUCUUGAGGAUGUGCUGCAGAUUGAGAUUUAGAUCUUUCUCUCUCUCUCUCUCUCUGGACUCUUUCCUGAUUUGUCUUCAGUCUGUUUCUCAUGCAUGCAAAUACAAAUGUCUGCAUACAUCCAUAAAAACAAGUACGCACACACACACACACACACACACAGAGUAACACAUACACACAUGCUCACACACUUGAGGUCCUCUCUUUAAUGUAAAUCAAAUCUCUGUUGGCCGCUCAGCUUCGUCUUUGUAGCUUUAUGCAAAUCAGCCGUUAAUAAACGCUGCCUAAUGAAUUCAUUACAUGCUAUCUGACAUAUGCACACACACACACACACACUGAACACACACACACACUGAACACACACUUUCACCUGACAUGAUUUGCAUAACAAUAGGCCUGCUUUGGCUCCGUGUUACACCUCAUUUAAACACAAGGAUAAUACAGCUGAGUGUUUUACAUAGUGAUGCAGGCCGACUUGAUUUAACCGGAGGUUGUUCGUACGUCCAGAGUGUCGCUCGUGUUUAUUUAGAGACAUUUAUUUAGAAACACGUGAACUACACGCUGCUUUUCAGUGACGUUUAUUCCACCUUUGUGUCGUGUUAUUUUUGUGCGUAAAUGUGGACGUUGGUGAUGUCUGGAAGUAUGAUUUGAUUUGUGUGAGAUUGGAGACAAGCUGAGCUAAAGUAGACAGCUGCUCAGCUCGCAGCCCCACCAAGGAGAGUCAAAGAAACUCGGUUUAAAUAUAAAAGUGUCCAUGUUUAAACAUGCAGGUAUUUUCCUUAUCAACUGCAGGUUUAAUAAGAAGAAAAGCUAAUAUUUUUAAAGCUGCAGCUCAGCUCGCAGCCCCUCAGACUGUCAAAAAAACUCAUUUUUUUAUAUAAUAUCUUUGCAGGUUUAGGAGAGUGUUUUUAUUACAAUGAACUGAGCUUUCAUUUUUCAUCUUUAAAGCUGCGGCUCAGCUCGCAGCCCCUCAGACUAUCAUAGAAACUGUUUUUAAAAUAAUAUCUUUGCAGGUUUAGGAGAGCGUUUUUAUUAAAAUAAACUGAGCUUUAUUUUUUUAUCUUAAAAACAACAGCUCAGCUUACAGCCUCUCAGACUGUCAAAAAAACUAAUUUUUUUAAUAUAAUAUCUUUGCAGGUUUAAAAGAGCGUUUUUAUUACAAUGAACUGAGCUUUAUUUUGUAUCUUUAAGCUGCAGCUCAGCUCGCAGCCCCCUCUGAUGUUUCUGCUAAAGAGCGUCAGACUAACCCUGAUUAGUAAUGAAAACUGCAUUAUUGAAUAUUUCUGCUGCUGACAAUUCUCUCCAAAGAGGUGUACAGCUCUUAAACAGCAGGACGGACAUCAUUUAGGCUUCUUUAUAAUCUACAGAUACAUUUAAUUUAAUGUGUAAAAAUCCAUAAAGAAUUAAUUGUGAGUCUAAAAAAUGAUGCAUGGGUAAAAGAGCCUUUUAUUUUCCACAGGUCAGAGGUCAUAAUAAAUGAUCCUCACAGAAACAGAGGACAGGAGAGACAUUAGGAUAAAUGCAAAGGAGGAAAAAAAGAAAUUAUCAUGGAAAUGGAGGCGCUGCAGGCGAUAUCACAGAGGAAUACAUUGAUGUAGUUUAUCCAGACAACACUGUGGUCCAGGUCAGUGUGUGUGUGCGUGUGUGUGUGUGUGUGUGUGUGUGUGCCCCUAAUGAAUGUGAUUUUUCAUGCUCUCUCUUUGUGUUGGCCGUCAGUUUGUUUGUAUUAUCAUAAAGAAAUAACCCGUGUUGUUCUCGCUGUUUCAUGCAUUUAUAUUUUAAUUUUCUGCUUUCUGAGCACACACACACACACACACAGAUGUUUUUUCUUUAUUCAUAAAUUUUAUUUAGAUUUAUCGAUUAUGUCCACCUUGUCAAAUACUGACACAUAAAAACACUUAAAAUCGCUCCUUUUAAAGCCGCCGCUCCAUUUUCAUGUUGCUCCAGAUUUUUAACUCAGUUUUAAGGUUUUGUAGGACGUGUUUGUUAACAGUGUCUGGUGGCCUUGAGCAGAGCGGUUCAAAGGUUGUUUCCGGCCUAAAAUGAAACAACGUCCUCUUGAACUAAAAGGUUUAUUUCUGAAGGGAUCCUGUAAAAAUAACAGUCUGAGAACUUUGAGCGGACAGACUUUGACCCAGUUUGUUUGCAGCCGUCUGAGUCCUGACACUUUAUCUCGGUUUGGACGAUGAGGAGCUCAGCUGAGUGUAAUUUCACUCAGACUAAUGUGUUUACAUGUUUUUUAAAAGUCCACCUGGGAAAAAGGCAGAUGAUCUGAACCAUCGUCAUCAGGAGAAACGUCCAAAACAAACAUGACAGUGGAAACAUGCUGCAAAGAAAAAAACCUGAACUUUAAUAACAACAAACGCACAAAAACUCAGAUAAUGUAAAUGAAUCUGAGUGUUUGGUGGAAGUUCUUCAGAUCUGUAGGAGACCAAGUUUAACAGCUUUAUCACUGACAGACCAGAGAAGAAGAGCUGACACUAACCGCACUGUUCAGAUGGAAAACCAGAUACUUAGAGAUCAGGGAGUAACUGUAGAGGGGCUGAACUGGAUCAGGACUCUCCUAAUGGUGAAGAAAAGGUGUGGAUGUCAGGAGUAAUGUGGUCUUCAUCUCAGGAGACCCGAGCAGAGGGUCUGUGAGGCCGAGGACUUGUGUUUUCUGAGCCUCAAAGUCAGAGUCAGCUCAGUGGUUAUUUGUCGGGCUUUGUUUCGACCAUCUCAGGGCAGAUUUGGAUUUUUGGACAUGUUUCUGAAGUUGUCAUUUCUGCGUUAACUGCGAAGGUCACCUGGGUCGUUGUAGAUCUUCUGUAAAGUUCCUCCAGAUCGUGUCAGCGGUCAAACAAGAAGCUGUUUGAGUUCCCGUUUCAGUCCAGAGUCUGUUUUUAUUCGUAGAAACUCAUUUAAUCCACGUGUUAUUCUAAGUCUCACUGUUUAACCCCAGUGCAUGUUGGGAGCCCACAGGGACGGGCCAAUCAGGAAGCAGUAAGGCCACGGGCGCUUCCUGUGAGCAAUCAGCGUCACUCAGGUGUGAUGGAUGGAUUUGACACACACACACACACACACACACACACACACACACACACACACACACACACAGAGUGGUUGAAGUUAAACAGCGCUCCGUGUGUGUGACACUGUCAUCCAUUACACUAAAGCAGGAGUGUGUUAGUCCAAACCUGAGACUGCACAGACCUUCAGUGUGUAUUUUUUAAUGUCGUCAUUUAAAUUCAUUUAAAUUCUCUUUUUUUUAUUCCUUCACUCUUUUUUUUCUUCAUUUAGAGAAACUUUUUUUCACUCUCCUCUAGUCUGCAGAUUCAGGACUGCUGACACCCCCUUUUAGUGCUCGGCCAUUUUGAGUGUUUUUAGUGUUUAGCUCUGCUAUUUUAAGUGACUAAAACUGCAGUUCCUCAAGUGUCCACUAGAGGCUGUCCCCUAAAGCGGUUCUUAAAAAAUCUCUAAAUGUCUAAAAUCCAAUAAUUUGAAUUUAAGACCUUAAAGUGUUUAAAAUCUUAUAAAAUGUCUUAAAUGCGAUUUUCAAAGGUCUUAAAAAUAUGUUAAUCUACCUACAAUACAUAAAAGAUAAUAAAGAUUGAUUUGAAGUAAAAUGAAAUGCUCAGAUUUACUUUUAUGUCUUUUGUAUUUUUUGCCUUUAUGGAUGUUGAAUAGGUCGUAACUUUUAUUCAUCACGGUCUAUAAAAAGUCUUAAAUUGGACCUGUUGAAACCUGCAGAGACCCUGACGUGAGUCAGAGCCCCACAUUAGGAUGUCCAACAUGCUCACAGCCUGAUCUUUUCAGCUCAUUUCUCAGUAUUUAACUCACCUGUUUGAGUCUCAUUCAAACUUAGUGAUCUAUAAUUAGGGGCGUGGCCUCUUUGACUGACAGGUGGGAGCUGGGCUUCACCUCUAUGUCAGAUUUUUCUGAUGUAACUUCGUGGAUCGCUGGUCAGGACAGUCAUGAUCUGUCUUACAGGAUCUCAGUCGUCAAUUAUCAAUAUUGUUUUUUUGUUUCAGAUUCUUAAAUUACCGAAGACUCUGUAGUUUCAUUUUAGCACAGUUCGUUUCUAAGUGCUGCUGAAUUUUACGAACUGCACCUUUAAGUCAGUACAUUUACAUGAUGUCCGAAAAACAAUUAGUUUCAUCAAUCCUGAAACUGGACCUUUACAAACAUAGACUGUAUCUAGAACAGACGCCGUCUGCCUCCUCGCUGGGUGAAGCGAGAACAGCGCCCUCUGGUGACGGGCUGCAGUAUAUGUCAUAAACCCCGCCUCCUUAUGGAGCUGUGGACAGACUUUAUAAAUGAAUGACUCAGAAUAUAAAUGUUUCUCCCCCCUGGUUGUGAUGUUGACCUGUAGUUACUGUCAGACUGGUUUGUGUUCAAGUCCUCUUUUUUCUGUACAGCUCCAUUUUUGAAAGUUAUUAGGGGGUUCAUGUUUUCUAUGAUUGACACCUGAUACAGCCUAUGGGAGGACAGAGAUUGUGUUUGAUACACUGUUUGAGCCGAGCAUCAUCACAGCGACUCUCAGAGACUCUCCUGCUGAAUACGUACAACACUACUGCGCAAUGUUGGUUUCAGGAAAUGGAGAAAAAAUGCGGAAAUACUGUUUACAACAUGUCAGUAUGUUAAUGUGACUGAAUGGACCUUCUCAUAGCUGGACUGACAGACCCAGUUUGUGCAGUUAGGAUCAGUUUUCUUGAGCUGAACCUGGACUCUGUUUCUGCUCCAGUUUUUUCACGCUGUGAGAUGAACUGCAUUAAUGCCAAGACGCUUGGUAGUAAAUAAAACCUCAACAGAAGGAGGUUCUGACCCGUGUCUGACUCUACACCACAUAUAUAUUCAAAGUUAUGGAGCCCGGCUGUUCAGACUAUCAUGAACGUCAGAUUUGAGUCACAUGAUAAGAUCGGAGUCCCUUCGGUGUGAACGUGUUUGUUUCUUUUUUACAGAGUAAAGUUUGAGAUUAUUAAAUCAUCUGAGAAUCAAACCGACAGCAGACAGGGACGGCCUUUUCUUUCUUCAACAGUUUGAAGUGAAGCUCAUUUAUUAAAAAUUAUAAAACAUUUCAGGUUUGAGUCGGACUCGGAGAUCAUUAAACAAUGUGACACUCGACAAAUACAGCUGCUCUCUCAUCCUGUCUGCACCGCCGCGCCUCAAACUUUCACUUCAGCGAUGAACUUGAGCUCAUUAAUUUCUCGAACAUGUGUUAAACUGCUCACAUAAAUAUAUUUGAGCUGCUCACCUGCUGUGUGUGUUUGAUUACUCAUUAAAGAAAUGAUGAAGAGUGAUCGGGCCGCUGCGGCGCCACGAUAACACGCCCCUCAUGUUUCUCCCUCUGCCGCCGCCAUUAAUAUGAAACUCUGAUAGUAAAAUUAUAUUUAAAUUGUACCUGCAUUUUUUAAAGUCUGCUUCCUUUGUGGGGAUGGAGGUAUGUGUAUGUGUGUGUGUGUGUGCAUGCGUGUGUGUGAGGCUGUUAACGCUGCGAGCCGCUGAAUGAAACGGCGUGGGGAGUCGGUGAGUGCAGAUAAAGCCCUGCUCAUGUAUCAGCCUGCUCACCUGUCUGCAGCCAGACCGCCAUAAUGGAUCGACACGAGCUGCAACCAUCACUCAUACUCACACCGGCUGCUCCUGCAAGUGUGUGUGUGUGUGUGUGUGUGUGUGUGUGUGUGUGUGUGUGUGUGUGUGUGUGUGUGUGUGUGUGUGUGUGUGUGUGUGUGUGUGUGUGUGUGUGUGAGAGAGAGAGUGAGAAAGAGAGAGAGAGAGAGGACAAGAGAGAAAGGAGGAGGAACAGUGUGUGUGCUUUGGUGGAGGGAGGGAGUGAUUAUAUGUCUGCAUGGGUGCAUGACAGAGACAGAGUGUGUAGCUCUGUGUCUGUGUGCGUGUGUUCAUGCAUGUGUGUGUGUGUGUGCAUAUAUGUGUGUGUGUGUGUGUGUGUUCCUGUCUGUCUCUGUCAUUUUGAUUGAUAUUUCCAACACUGACACCAUCUUAGUAAAACAGUCUCUCUCUCUCUUCUAUCUUUCCAUCUCUCUCUAUUCUCACUGUGUGUGUGUGUGUCUGUGUGUGUGUGUGUGUGUGCGUGUGUGUGCGUGGGAGGAAAGGGUUAUGGGAAAGGGUCAUCCCUGGACGUCGGUGUGACGGACAGCUGGCAGGGCUCUGUCUCAGUAGGAGGUCGAGUUGAGCUGUCAAUCAAAAAAAAGACAAAAAAUGAGGCAGGGCUUUUAUUUUGAAGGGCAGAGGGCUUUUAUUGUUGGAAUGUACGUCUAAGAAUUUAUACUCUCUUAAAUUUAAGGACCUGUCAUAUUGAAGUCAAAGCAGAUACCUUACAGUAGACCUGCAUUCUUACUAGUGUCCAGCAGGGGGCGAUAUGCAGAUAAUCGAGUAAACGUUUUCCUGAUGAGUUCAUUGUCUCACUUCCAAAUUCCACCACAUCCGGAACGUCUACAAAAAGGUCGUAUCCUCCGAUCUUAGCUGAUCGUAACCAUUCAAGUUAACGUGUCAAUUUCCACCGACUUCUUUCCGUUCCUCUGCGGAUCGCCGGACUCACUGCAGGAGCCUCAUUUGUCCACAGAGCUGUCAAUCAUUUCUACAUCAUAAAAUAGCUAAUUCACACUAACACAUAUCUGCAUGAGAAGAACGAACUUUAAUAACAGGAACUGCAGGAGAAAUGCUCUGUGUUUUAAUGAUACACCCAUGUUCCAUCUGCUUACAUGGAGAGGCGGAGCUUAUGACCUGUACUGCAACCAGUCAGUAGGGGGAGCUCUUCAUGUUUAGGCUUCACUAUCAGGGGAAUGUCACAUCAUCUACGAUUUCUUAUAAAUUUAGUUUACCUAGUUCAUCAUUUUUUAAUGUUUCAUGUUGUUUGAAUCUUUAUUUAUUUAUUUGUGAAUAUUUAUUUCUAAUAUUUUGCACCGAGCAGGGGGACGUUCCUCGUAUUUGGCAGAUUAUUUACAUUCAUUAUUGGACGUUAACACUCGUUAUGAUCCGACUCUGCUUCUUCAAUAAUGAACUGAAGUAGAUUUACCUCCUUAAAGACGUUUAAUGAUUUAUAUUUGCGGAUGAAAUUUACGAACAUUCAUCCUGGAGAACAGCAGACAGACUCUCCUUGUUUUAAGCCAGAUGCCCACAUGUCCUCCUUUUUUUCAAACAACAGGGAUCGUUGCCAUGCCGACCCUUGGGACCUGACCUCCCCAGGGGUGAGAGGUCAUCCUCCCAGCCUGCUGCUGUUGCCACAGUGAUGAACGGCAUCCUGAGAAGUAAGUGUGAGAGUGUGUGUGUGUGUGUGUGUGUGUGAGGGGUGAGAGAGUAUUUAUGCAUCUGCCAGAACCUCUGACUGUGUGUGUGUGUAAGUGUGUGUAUACGUGUGUGUAUCUUUGUUCUCGAUCAGUCAUAAUCUGGAAUAGACUCCUGAUAAUUUCAUUAGAAUAUUACAAUCUGAUUAUGAGACAGCAGCAGGUCUGUGUGUGCAGACGGGCCACACACAGAGCAAACACACACACACACACUAACACACUAACACACACACUAACACACACAUGCACGGAUCUGCAGGACACCAUGUACACAUCUGAGACGCUCUCCCAGACCAACAGAGGGCUCCUGUAUCUGCGUCUCCUGGGGGUCAAUUUGCCUCAGGCCACAGGAACGACAUCACCGCAGAGGUCAAAGGUCAUGACACUGUGGGUAGAAGUGGGGUGUGUGUGUUUGCGAGUGUCCCACAUAGAAACAGAGAUGGAGGAGCCUCAGCUGAAGGAUGGUGUCGGUGCAGAGACGUCGUGUUAAUGUGUUUUUGAAAAGAUGAAGUGAGAUCUAGGUGUGCGGCUCUGUGCUUGUGGCCUGCCUGAACUAACUCUAGUCUCUGUGAUGCUUUUGUACACCCUCUAUUAUCACACCCGCACCUCAGACCAACAAGAGUUCCCCGUCCUGACCUCUGCCUCAUCAGAUCUGAAUCUUAAAUCCGUUUAUUUUCAUCGCUGUCGUUCAGCCUCACUUCAGAGACGGAGAAAAUGACAAUAUUUUGAAACUUUUCUCAGGAUUAAGUUCGUAGUUUCUCCUCUCCAACUUUCACCAAUCACCAGAAUAUUCCUGCAACAAUAAGUGCAACACGAUGUCGUUCUGCGUCCGAUAUCAGCCGAAAACAACGAGGAACAGAGAGAAACACACAUUCAUUCUGCUCAGAGGAAACACCUCACAACCUCGCAACCAUCACUCAUUCAUAGCUGCAGCCAUUUUCUCUGUCAGCCCGCCUAAAUGCAUUGUGGGAGCAGGAUGAAUGUGUGUGGUGAUAUGUGUAUUCUGCGUUUGAUGUGUGUGUGUGUGUGUGUUUCCGUGUGUGUUUCCGUGUGUGUGCAGUCAGCAGGGGACGUGGAAAACAGCAGUUGGCUUUGCAGAGAUACACGGUGGGCUUGUUCACUAAGAAAAUAGAUAUCAUUAGCUGGCUGCUGCACACACACACACACACACACACACACACACACACACACACACAACACACACACACACACACACACACACAAAGAAAAGAUAUCAUUAGCUGCCUGUUUAGUAUUCAUACCCAUCCGCUCUACCUCUGCUGCUCACACACGGCGAGGCAGAAAUUAGCCAGCAGCACCUGACACUCCAUCAUGAUGUCACAGCGGGAUUUGGGUGGGUGUGUAGGUGUCCAUCUGAGUGUGUGUGUGUGUGUGUGUGUGUGUGUGUGUGUGUGUGUGUGUGCACCACAUUAGAGGCUGGGAGGAAUAAAAGCCUCCAGCCAUUAGCUUCCUAACACACCCUUGGCUUCCUGGAGGGAGACGCAGAAAGAGGAUGAAUGGACGUUUACGGAGGACGGUUUCACGUGAAACAGCCGAGAGGGCGAGGAAACGAAAACACAAACCUGAUCAGGAGCGAUGGCGGCUCUUCAGGGUCUAAAACUCACGGGGGGGGGACAACAGGUACCUUUAAAACCCGAUCCAUGUUUUUAUAAUCGGAGGGUUCAGAUAACUCAGAGGUCUGAAACAGCCUUUCAUUUCCCGACUGUUUCAGUCAGAAACAGCAGCUACAGCUCGCUCUUCAGCGCAGUCUCUGUUUUACCCAUGAUCCUUUGCUGCAUGUCAUCCCCACACUCUGCUCCAUGUUAACUGUCCAAUAGAAGCAAAAAUGUCCCAAAGCUACGACUCCCUGCAGGAAGAAACGACAGAUUUUGACGAUAAAGCUCUUUACAAACCGGGAGACCGUGUCUUUUUCCCCCCCAGAAAGUCGCAAAAUCACACCGGGCUUACAGUUUUAAUACAAAUGUAAAAACACAAAGUAAUAUUAUACCUUUAAGGGAACAUGAACGUUAACGCCUCAUAGGUUUUGAAUGACAAGAAAGAGAGAAAAAUAAAAAUAACAGAGAAAAAAUAGAGUUAUGAUCAAAACAGGGAAAAUACUGAGAGAAAGUCCGGUCAGAAGGAAGGAAGAUUUCUAAUUAGUCUUUACCAAUUUUCCUUAAAUUCAAAGAUCUUUGUUGUCUUUGAUUAUAAGUUUAUGAAAAAGGUCAAAGAAAGUUGAACUCAAACUAAAAACAGAUAAAAACGACCGUGAAGGUCAGCGUCCACACGGUCUGAAUCUGUUAAACUUCCUCUCUACAAAAAUCACUUUUACAGUCUGAGCUGAAUCUGAAAUGAUUGAAACUUUAUGAUCAUGAAGAAAUUCGAGUUAGUGAACAUUUCAGUAAGUUAUUUUAAACAGAGUGAAACAGUCUUUGUGUUUACAGUCUUUGCAGUGCGCUGUAAUCCGACAUCUUCACCCUCUAAACGCUGAAAACUCACAGGAGUCAGAUUUUCAUCAGAGCGCUCGGUCCGUCUGAUAUGGACCGUGGCGCCUCCAUGAACCCGGACUCAGAUGAUACCAGACUGUGACGGUCUCUCUGCAGUCCCUCAUAAAAACCCGGUUUAUCUGACCUCCUCCAGAAGCUGCCCAUCAGUGAAGUAUUGAUCCUGCUGCGCAUCAUCGAUAUAUUCGCUCCUAAUCAAUGAUCUGCUCUUAAAACUCCUCCAUGCAGAGAGGAGAAAUGGACAUGUAGGCGGAGAGCUAAUGACAUAAACGUAUUAGUAAUGAUAUUGUAAAUCAGAGCGAGGGAGGAAGAGGAGCGUCAUCGACACCUCUCAGAAACAAAUGGCUUUAAUGUAAAUUUAACAUUAUUAUUAUAGAGAGGAGGAAAACACAGGAGGGAGAGAAAUGUAUCCGUAAUUUUAUUAAACGAGAGAGAGAGAGGAAAAAACUCAACGAUGAGUCAGAGAGCGAGGAUGCCACAACAGAGCGUGUUUAUCAGUGACGAUGGUUAAAGAAUAUAAAUAUAAAUAUAUCUGUAAAUAAAUGAUCGUGUACGGAGGAGCAAGAGUCAGACGUCAUGACUGAAAUAGUGACACGAAUGAACAUGAUCAAACUUCAGAGUGUAAAAUUCAAAAUAAACAAUCAUCAGUGAAACAAGUUUAACUUCAAACACUGACUGGCUAAACCGACAGGAUCCUGAACGGCACCGCUCCGGACCGGCAGGCGGAUCAGAUCCGCAAGCAUACAUCGGAGGAGAAGCGCUCGUGAGAUUACCGAUAUUUAUCGCGAGACUGGACGAGAUCUCACAAGCUUUCACGUGUUUCCCCAGGAGUUAGCGAAUAUAAACACCUACAUCCCACAACCCU
rnacentral:lncRNA from 1 species